UACGGAGGGGGCUAGCGUUGUUCGGAAUUACUGGGCGUAAAGCGCACGUAGGCGGCGAUUUAAGUCAGAGGUGAAAGCCCCGGGGCUCAACCCCGGAAUAGCCUUUGAGACUGGAUUGCUAGAAUCUUGGAGAGGCGAGUGGAAUUCCGAGUGUAGAGGUGAAAUUCGUAGAUAUUCGGAAGAACACCAGUGGCGAAGGCGGCUCGCUGGACAAGUAUUGACGCUGAGGUGCGAAAGCGUGGGGAGCAAACAGG
rnacentral:rRNA from 1 species